rnacentral:rRNA from 1 species
UGGGGCUGUAGUCGGUCCCAAGGGUUGGGCUGUUCGCCCAUUAAAGCGGUACGCGAGCUGGGUUCAGAACGUCGUGAGACAGUUCGGUCCCUAUCCGUCGUGGGCGUAGGAAAUUUGAGAGGAGCUGUCCUUAGUACGAGAGGACCGGGAUGGACAUACCUCUGGUGUACCAGUUGUCGUGCCAACGGCAUAGCUGGGUAGCUAUGUGUGGACGGGAUAAGUGCUGAAAGCAUCUAAGCAUGAAGCCCCCCUCAAGAUGAGAUUUCCCAACUUCGGUUAUAAGAUCCCUCAAAGAUGAUGAGGUUAAUAGGUUCGAGGUGGAAGCAUGGUGACAUGUGGAGCUGACGAAUACUAAUCGAUCGAAGACUUAAUCAAAA